CAUGAACGUUGGCGGCAUGGAUUAGGCAUGCAAGUCGAGCGAGAAGAGUUUUGAAGCUUGCUUUAGAACUCGGACAGCGGCGAAAGGGAGAGUAACGCGUAGUUAUGUGCCCUAGGGUCCGGAAUAGCCACGGGAAACUGUGGGUAAUGCCGGAUAAUAUCCCCGGAUCAAAGGUGUGAUUCCGCCCUAGGAGCAGACUGCGUCCUACUAGCUAGUUGGUGGGGUAAUGGCCUACCAAGGCAAUGAUGGGUAGCGGGGGUGAGAGCAUGACCCGUCUCACUGGGACUGAGACACUGCCCAGACACCUACGGGUGGCUGCAGUCGAGAAUCUUCGGCAAUGGGCGAAAGCCUGACCGAGCGAUGCCGCGUGCGGGAUGAAGGCCCUCGGGUUGUAAACCGCUGUCGUAGGGGAGGAAGGUUCCGUGAAGAGCGGAAUUUGACCUAUCCUAGGAGGAAGUACGGGCUAAGUUCGUGCCAGCAGCAGCCGCAGUAA
rnacentral:rRNA from 1 species